AUAUGUUUUUUGAUUUUUUUUAGAAAAAGGGCACCAAGAUGCCCGAGCACACAAACAUCGCGCUCGCCUUGCUCCCUGCUAUGUUCGGUAUAUGCAAGCCACCUGCUUGAUCUUUAAAAAAAACACAUAAAAGAACAGACUCACACAUAAAAGCGCGGCACCGCCCUAGUCUCCUCUCUAUUGCGGCCUCCGCCUGGAUCUGACUGGAUCCUCAGCCCACUGCCGCGAAUUCCUCUCGUUUCUUCUGCCAUGCGUCGCUAUCGGAAAACUGUUAACCUUGACACUCUAUCAAGGUGCAAACACAGCUGCUGACCAAUAAUUUGGGUCAUGUCUACGCCCGCUUGCAAAGACGGGGCUAAUCUUGACGACAACCAUCCCAACGGGCGACGUGCCAAGUCCAAACAUGCUCACCCGUUUGACCCCGAGAACCGCGGACCAUUGGUCUUUUUUGUCUUAAGUCAUAAUUUUCUUCUGCUGCGUGAUUGUGAUCGCAGCUUUCAAUGAGGACGCAGCUUUCAAUGAGGACCAACCACCUGGCGUUGGCGAUAUCUUCCUCCGACUUAUAGGAAAAAGUGGGUUUGAUCCCGGUGCCUCUCCGCCGACUUCGCCGGCUUUCCGCCUUGUGUUGGACUUCGAACGAACACCACAAACCUACCGGCGCUGCAGCGGAGGAGGCAACUCGUUGCUGCACGUCUCCUACCAUGACAUGAUCCUGGCGUGGGCUCAAGUGCCAGAUUUCUACGUCUACGGCGACCGGGGCAUUGGCAGUGUUGGUACCUUGGAGGUGGAGGCCAAGGCAGACGCCUCCGUGCUGCAAGAGGAGGUGCGCAACUUGCUUUGGAGCGAGAUUCAGGUCGUGGGGAAGGUCAAGUUCGACGUGCAAGGAGAGGUCGCGGGCCUAGGGUAUCUUCGCUGCAAGUUCUUCAUCAUGAAAGAUAAGGUUGCGCAUGUGCCCAAGAGCCUGUGCAUCCUCCGUCAAUAGGCCGGAACUAUGCCUUCUGAUAAGGGUGUUAUAUAUUCUCCCUUCUGUCACUGGAUUGCAUUUACUUUUGUAAUAGCUGCUAUAUUCUGCUUUGAAAUAAAACAAAACAAUUUCAGCUGCAUAUUUUUUCGAGUGGUUAUUUUCUUCAGAAAAUGCUAGCUCAAUCGUCCGUGCAAAAAUCCAACGGGAAGUUUCACCAUACUAUGUAGGCUUCAGACUUGCAUAACACCUAGUAGCUCACUUUGGAACUGGAAGCUUGGUCAGCUGGAAGGAAGUUUACUCUACUCAGCUGUUGGACUGAUCAGGGGGACUUGCUUUGAGUAUAUACAUUGGGCUUCUCUGUUAACUUUGCUAGUCUAAUUGAUGAAAGGGUGUACACCUGAAGCUUCACUUA